UACAGAGGUCUCAAGCGUUGUUCGGAUUCAUUGGGCGUAAAGGGUGCGUAGGCGGCGCGGUAAGUCGGGUGUGAAAUCUCGGAGCUUAACUCCGAAACUGCAUUCGAUACUGCCGUGCUUGAGGACUGGAGAGGAGACUGGAAUUUACGGUGUAGCGGUGAAAUGCGUAGAUAUCGUAAGGAAGACCAGUGGCGAAGGCGGCUCACUGGCCCGAUACUGACGCUGAAGCACGAAAGCGUGGGGAGCAAACAGG
rnacentral:rRNA from 1 species